AGGAUGAACGCUGGCGGCGUGCCUAACACAUGCAAGUCGAACGUCCUGUCUCGCAAGAGGCAGGGAGUGGCGGACGGGUGAGUACCACGUGGGUUAUCUACCGUGAGGUGAGGAAUACCGGCGAGAAAUCGCCGACAAGACCGCAUAGCCUCGGUGCAAGCCGAGGAAAGCUUUCUCGAGAGAGGGAGCGCCACACGAGGAGCCUGCGCCCGAUUAGCUAGCUGGUGGAGUAACGGUUCACCAGGGCGACGAUCGGUAGCUGGUCUGAGAGGACGAUCAGCCACACUGGGAUUGAGAACGGCCCAGACUCCUACGGGGGGCAGCAGUGAGGAAUUUUCGUCAAUGGGGGCAACCCUGAACGAGCAACGCCGCGUGCAGGAAGAAGGUUUUCGGAUCGUAAACUGUCUUUUCGUCGGGGAAGAGGAACGGACGGUACCCGAGGAAUCACGCCCCGGCUAACUACGUGCCAGCAGCCGC
rnacentral:rRNA from 1 species